CCCUUAGAUGUUCUGGGCCGCACGCGCGCUACACUGAUGCAUUCAACGAGCCUAUCCUUGACCGACAGGUCCGGGUAAUCUUUGAAUCUGCAUCGUGACGGGGAUAGAUUAUUGCAAUUAUUAAUCUUCAACGAGGAAUGCCUAGUAAGCGCAAGUCAUCAGCUUGCGUCGAUUACGUCCCUGCCCUUUGUACACACCGCCCGUCGCUCCUACCGAUUGGGUGUGCUGGUGAAAUGUUCGGAUCGGCCGUUUGUCGCGGUUUCCGCGUCAUGUGGCUGAGAAGUUCAUUAAACCCUCCCACCUAGAGGAAGGAGAAGUCGUAACA
rnacentral:rRNA from 1 species